rnacentral:rRNA from 1 species
AAUGAACGUUGGCGGCGUGGAUUAGGCAUGCGAGUCGUACGAGAACCCGCAAGGGGGAAAGUGGCGAACGGGGUAGUAAUGCGUAGGUGACGUGCCCUAUGGUCGGGGAUAGCUUAGGGAAACUUAAGGUAAUACUCGAUAAUCCCGGGAGGUUUGAAGACCAUCCGGGCAAAGGUGUGAUUCCAUCAUAGGAGCGGCUUGCGUGGUAUUAGCUAGUUGGUGAGGUAACGGCUCACCAAGGCUGCGAUGCCUAGGGGAUGUUAGGGCAUGAUCCCCACACUGGGACUGAGAUACUGCCCAGACACCUACGGGUGGCUGCAGUCGAGAAUCUUCGGCAAUGGGCGAAAGCCUGACCGAGCGACGCCGCGUGUGGGAUGAAGGCCCUUGGGUUGUAAACCACUGUCAGAGGGGAUGAAAUGCACGAGAGCUAUCUCUUGUGUUUGACAUAGCCUCAGAGGAAGCACGGGCUAAGUUCGUGCCAGCAGCCGCGGUAAUGU